UACCAUGUCAAAGAUUAUGUCACUGAAGUUUAUGUUUGAAACUCUGUGUUUGAAACCGUCAAAUGAAGGCAUUUUUGGAUAAAAUAUUUUUUGGUGUUAUCUACUUCACCAUAUUGCUCCUUUCAGUACGAAACCUUCGGAGCCAGAAGAGUUACCCUCAAAAGUAGCAUUCACCUAGAGUGUAGAAUAUGGACAAAAGAUUAAUGAAGCAUUGGUAAGUGAGUAAAACGUUUUCCUUAGAAGUAUUGGAAGAGAAUUAGUCAUACGUGGAAUGUUUUGGUCAUUCAAAUGACGAAAAGAUAUAUGUUGUAUGGUAAAAUUUUAGUGAGUCUACACCAAGUACUACAACAUGACUAAAGAAAAUGUGGUGCCGUCUAUUUUGACACAAAACAAAACAUCACUACAGGACCCUACUCCUCAGGAUUUGAAAUGGACAAUUCUGUUUUGAAUGUACCUAUACACUCCUAGAAACCAGCUAACAUAAUUUGAAUCUAAAAAUCUAACCCAAUUUGUAUCACCGGAGAUGACCAAUUGUCGUAAAAUAGUUUUUAUAAUUUUUGUACCCAUUAAAAAUAAA